UGAAGCUUAGUAGUAGAGCACUUGCCUAGUACGUGUGAGGCCCUGGGUUCAAUCCCCAGCA
rnacentral:tRNA from 1 species